UACGAAGGGGGCUAGCGUUGCUCGGAAUGACUGGGCGUAAAGGGCGCGUAGGUGGCGGCUUAAGCGUGCGGUGAAAGCUCGGGGCUCAACCCCGAGUCGGCCGUGCGAACUGAGUCGCUUGAGCACUGUAGAGGCAGGCGGAAUUCCGGGUGUAGCGGUGGAAUGCGUAGAGAUCCGGAAGAACACCGGUGGCGAAGGCGGCCUGCUGGGCAGUAGCUGACACUGAGGCGCGACAGCGUGGGUAGCAAACAGG
rnacentral:rRNA from 1 species